GACAGAGGAUGCAAGCGUUAUCCGGAAUGAUUGGGCGUAAAGCGUCUGUAGGUGGCUUUUUAAGUCCGCCGUCAAAUCCCAGGGCUCAACCCUGGACAGGCGGUGGAAACUACCAAGCUGGAGUACGGUAGGGGCAGAGGGAAUUUCCGGUGGAGCGGUGAAAUGCGUAGAGAUCGGAAAGAACACCAACGGCGAAGGCACUCUACUGGGCCAUUACUGACACUGAGAGACGAAAGCUAGGGGAGCGAAUGGG
rnacentral:rRNA from 1 species